GGGGUUGUGGCUCAACAGUAGAGCACUCGCCUAGCACGUGUGAGGCCCUGGGUUCGAUCCUCAGCACCA
rfam:Ictidomys tridecemlineatus contig025887, whole genome shotgun sequence.